CCUAUAAAUGUCCCUAGACUACCCAGCCAUCUAGGGGGUCUGAGAGGGGCAAAACAAUCUGGUCCGUCCGUUUCACCAUCUCUAAUCCCACUUUUCACCACAGCCAUCCGAUCGAUGAAUAUUUUUCUCACUUAUUCAGCUUCCCUCUGAGUCGAUGAUGCGUGGGACCAGCUAGGUGCGGGGGCCGACGGUUGGAGACUGCGAUGCUGCUCGUUUCGCGUCACCUUUCUUCGCGUCCACAUGCGGUGAAACCCUAGAUCGAGAAAAGCAGCCAAUCCCCCAUCCUACAGCCCCGCGCUUAUCUCCUCUCAACCCACGGUGAAAACCAGAUCGAGUCGUCGCGCGUCCUGCCGGCGGCCGCGCGGCUCGUGGAUGAUGGGAUUUGAGGCACUCUCCCCUGCGCGUUCGUGGGUUGGAGGAGGUGCGGCCGGAGCGCGCACGGAGGUUGGCGGCGGCGACGCCCACUCCUCUCCUCGUCCCCAUCUUCUCCUCUUCCUCCGCCCUCGAGGUCGUCUUUCGGCGGAGCGAUGGCAGGGAGCACAAGGGCGGCGACGGCUGUUGGAUGCUCGUAUGUGAGGCGCGGGAGCAGAAUACGUGGCGGGUCGUGGGCACGAUGGUGGGCUGGCGGCGGUGCUAGGCGCGGCGGAUGGAGCGUCGGCUGCGGUGCAUCAGCCUGGCGCGGCGGCGGAUGGAGCGUCGGCUGCGGUGCAGCAGCCUCGCAGGCGGCUGGAGAAGCGCCUCUACCCUCACCACGGCCUCCCCAACCCAGGAGCAUAUGGCGGAACCAGUCGGUGCCGGAGCGGCCGACCCUGACCGGUGAGGAGAGCGGCCUACCCUGACCGACGAGGAUCAAGGGCACGCAGCUGCACCUCUCCCCCACUGAGGCGCCACGCUAGGCGGUGGAGAGGAGGUGGGUAGAGGCACGCGAGCUGGGGUUGCCGCGACCAGGAACGUGUGCCCGCGUCCGUGGCUCGACCCUCGUCGUUGACCCCCACGUUCUUCUCCCAGUCAUGGAGCAGCACUACACGUUGGAUGCAACCUCGUGCACUCGCUUGAGGACGAGCUUGGCCAAGAUUAUUCUCACCACCGACAGCAACAACACGAUUAGCAUCUGAAUAUUUCCUAAUGGCUAUGGCCCAGCAGCUGCACCUCCCUCUACUUCUCAUUUUCAACUUGAAUCAAAUAUCAGUGAACGAGAGGAAGGACAUGGUGGUGUCCUUCGAUCUGCAAGAGGAAGGAUAUGGUGGGAAUUGCAGGCCCGCAGUCUCCUGUGAUCAUCCUCCAUUUGUCAUUUUUUUGCUAUUGUACUGAAAUUUUAAUAUUGUAGUCCUCAGGUUUCCAUUAGUUCGGAAACUUAAAUUAUUUGAUGUGUACAAGGCAGUGCUACAGAAAAGAAGGUAAUUUCCUCAGCCUUCCUGGAUCUAACGAUGUCCCUUGGUGCUCUACUCGUGGUAGCUUGAACUUACCGAUGUUAUUAAUAUUACUCUUAUGGGCUUUAAUUACCAGUUGCAAUGUGUUCAAUUUGCCAGCCUUUUUUGUAUAUAGCCAGCCUAGCGCUUUGAUUGCGUUGGCAAGAGACUGGUCGAAAAAUUCUAGAACACAUCACAAGAAUUGUUACUAUGCAGUUUCAUGAUUUCUGUGGAGUGCCAUUAUUCCAUUUUGUUUCCAUGUCAUUAGUGUGUUCACUGUGUAUUUUUUAUAGAUGCCUUCCUCAUAUUUGUCCACAUAUUUAGGGAUGCUGGCUCAUAUACUUUAAAUACUUUUGUCCUAUCUUAUGUUGUUUCCGUUGUUAAUGUAUACACACUUCUUAAGUUUAAGCUAAUGCUCCUGCUCUAUGGUUUAGCAGGCAAGGCGAGUUAUGAUGAUACUGUGAGAUGGAAUUGAAAGUGAGCAGACAUACAGUGUGGUACUCUAGCCAUAAAGUUUGAUGGAAAAUUAAGGGUAAAUGGCAGUGAGGGCGGAUCAAGGCUUCUUACUGGCCGUGACAUAAUGAUCUUAUGGGAUCCCCUUUGCAAGGUGCUACACUUGAGGUAAAAUGGCUUUUGUUGGCGGUGAUGCAGUCAGUGUGACAUGAACCUGAACAUUAUUCAAAAUGAAGGUAUGUCACGAACCUGAACCUGAACAUACUUGACAAAAUUAUGUGCAUAUUUAAGUCUGAAACUUGUAUCUCUGUGUACCUUUGUUCAUGAAAGUGGGAUCAGCAAAACAGACUAUGUGCUUUUAUUGCUCUUGUUCUUUUGGUGCGAUUGGAAUGUAAGAUCUCAGUUUAGCUUAUCUGAAAUCUGGAGCAUUCCCUUCUCUUUUAGUCGUCAUGGUGCCUUAGGAUAAGCGAUAGAGUUAAAUUUAAUAACUUAAUGUUAUAGCCUCUUCAGUUUUUCCUUGGUAAACUUGAUAGUUUAAAUUGUAAAUCUAUUCUCUUUCUUACAUACCUGUCCUCCAUAUGGUAAGAUUGGGCAAUCCCAUGGUGCCUCCUUGACAGUAGAUUCAUUUUUAUUGCUUACAGUAUUAUAUGAUACGUUGCCAAGUAAUUGGCUGCUUUAAGUUUAACCUUUCUAUACUGGGCUGUUUUCAGGAGGAGGUAAAGUGUUUCAUGCCGUUGUCUAAAAUUACAGAUGUCUUGUUUGUCCCUGCUGUUAAGCCUUUGCCGAGCGGUCUUCUUCCUCAUGGUCACAGGGCUGCGCAGCAGGGCGGUGCUUGCCGCCUCGCGUUGUCAUUAUUUGAAGCAUGAUAGUUGUCAUUCUUUGAAUGUUGCUGACUCCUACCGAUUGAGGCAAACUGUUGAUUUUAUAGAGUGCUCGCUGUUGUCUGGCAUCAUGCUCGGCUUGCAACGCUCCCGUCGGGACAGGCUACUGGAGUGGUGUUCAUGACCGCUGGUGCAGCUUGGGGAGAGAUGCCCGCAUUGAUGUACAACAAUUUUCCUGAAGAUAUGUCAUAUCCCUGUUCUCGCUUGACUGAAGUAUUGGUCAUCCACUGACCAAGCGGCGAGGAGGAGCUCCACCGUGAAGGAGACAGUAGACUGGCAAUGCCUCAUUGCUACAACAGUGGUAUCAUUUCGAUGCGUUUAACCUUGGUGUCAGGAUCAUAAAGGAGGCAAGUUCACCUCACAGCCCCCAUUCUAGGCCAUCAGCAUCAUUUUUAUCCUUAAUUUCUUUUGUAAGAUCAUAAUCUUUUGGGUUGCUAGACACUCAACUUUUCAGCAUUUCAGUCGUCUGUAUGACAUGAGCUCACGAAAAAGCUGUGGUUGUAGUAUGGUUUCACGCUUGACGGUUUUAGUGCCCAUUGUUGCAGGUUUAAUUUUGUGUAGUAUUUUUUUUUUCUUUUGCUACAGCUUGUUAAUAACUCUAUUUUUGUAAUUCUUUGUAUGGUUGCAGCUCAAGAUGGUGAUUGUAUACCACAAACCUGUAUGGAUAAUGUGAGGUCAGUUUCAUUUCAAAGCUUGCAAAUUUCAGAAUUUCACAGGAUAAUUUUUUUUCAAUAUAGUGCAUUUCUAAGAAAGAAAGAAAGAAAGAAAGAAAGAAAGAAAGAAUAGACACAUUUUAAAAUGUGGUGCUAACUCUUGAGGAAUGUGUACUUGGUUUGAUGAUAUAGCCGAGGUUGCUUAUCUAGAGAGAAUACCAUCUAAAAAGUGUUUCAUGUUUCAGAUAAGUUGCCUUGUUGGAAGUCAGUAAGCAUCUUUGGUACUGCUUAAGGGCAGCUGGAUAAGUUCUACAUAAGGCUAUAGUGCAAUUCAUCUUUUGUACUGAAUGUUUGAUAAGUUUUGAGUGUUGUUUUUUGAUUUUUUCGAGUAUGGCAUGUUCAUGUGGAUGUUUCUUGGUAUCCUUUUGCUAGGUAUUAUUCCUGAGAGAGAGAGUACUGGGAGGCAUUAGCGAUAUUAUCAUGUUAUCUCUAUUUUAAUGUUAUCUCUAUUUUAAUGUUGCUUCCUAGAUGAAAGUAACUACCAAGGUGUUUGAUUAUUUUUUAUGAUGCUAAUAUGGUGGGAUGGUUAAGGUUAAUUGGUAAAUACAUUCAAUUAUGUGUAUAGAUUUGUCUUCAUGUUUGUGUUUGUGGCCAAAAAAAUGUCUUUCAUACACAACUGAAUGUCGUAACCAUUGUUCUUAUGUGUGUGUUUCAGAUGGGGUUAUGGUAGUAACAAAACCUAUCUCAUAAGCUUUGCAUUUCUUAUAAUUUCUUCCAUACAACACUUUUUCUUCCGGUAUAUGGUAUUAGUUACGGUAAGGAAUACAUAUUACCAUGUUUGCCUCAGCAGCUUAUUCUAUCUUCUGAUAGCGUUCAAAAUGAUCAUGUGAUUUAGCUAGCUGUUCUGCAAGAUUUGAUUGUUCAGAUUUCGUCAAAAAGUUCAGUAAACAAAAAUAAACUGAUUUUCUUCCCUGGCAAUUUCUUCCAAGAAUCUCUCAUUCGUUAAUUAGCAGAUAGUAAGUUUUCAGAGCAACACUUGAAGUUGAGGUCCCCACUCGAUUUAGCUUCAGCAUGAUUGAGAUUGUAAUAUACUUACAGCUUUACUGUAGUUUGAGAAGUUAUUUGAAAUGUGAUUCUCAUGAUCGCUGAAGCAUGUAGUUUCCUUCUUGAUAUGGACAAGGUUAAAAUAGUCAAAAUGGCAAUGGACUGUGAGUAUAUAGUUGCGUUAUCUACUUUUUCCUAGAUUAUAACUUGCUCUGUCUUGUGCAUGUUUCUACCAUGCUGCAUUAGGAUUUUGCCGAAUUAUCUUGCCCAGAUAUGGACAUAUUAGUUUUGGUGCACCAUGGUUUGUUAGCUGAGCCAACCUUGGCCGUAUUUUUUUUCUCACAGUUAAAUGUGUGUAUUUAUUCUCAACUUAAAUCAAAUAGGACCAGUUUAUAUUUCUGUUUCAUCUUAUAUUAGUAUGUAGUUCCGAACUUUAGAUGAAGAAAAGGAUUAAGCCGUGACCUAUGGAAUGUUCCAAUUUAUCCGGAAAACCUUCUCAUAAUUCAGUAUUGCUUGCAAAAGGGAAAACUGAUAAAAAUUGCAUGCUACAAAACUUUGUCUAUAAGCUUAAAAUUUAUGGACAGUUCUGAGAAUACGGCUAAUUAGGCAAGGUAACCAUACUGUUGCAUACUCUCUUGGCUGGAAAGGAUUGAAAAUAUUAAUAGAACUAUUACAAUUACGAGCACUCAUUUCAAAUUUUUGGUCAGUAUAAACAAUACGGCCCGCAUGAUAUCUUUGGGUUGUGGUAGGCUUUCUUGGCGAAUUCUUUAGCUUAAUUGUUGUGUGAUUGUUAUAGUUUUCAAUAGCAACUGUAUCACGUAUUCCAUAUGCCAUUGUGAGCCCUCUUUUCUGUUUGACUAUUUACUUCUAACUAAUUGAUAUAUUUGAUUUGUAUCUUCUACUAGGAAAUGCAAUUCUGUACUCCCUCCAUCACAGUUUACACGGCGUACUUGAGAAAACGUUGGGACCUAUAUACUCGUUGAUUGGUUGUUAAUUCGUUUCAGCUGAACGUGAAAGUAGGGGCAUUUGUUAGGCCCAUUAAACACACCACGCCUAAUUUUGUGUAAUUAAAGCAUUUGAUGCUCCUCCCAUCCAGAAAUCAAGCUGUUUCCUUCCAUGCAUUGGUGGAGACCGAUUCCACACCUCUGCAUGCAACUCUAUUCACAAAUGCAUGGGAUUUUUUCUCAGUGUUCACACAGCGGAAAGAAACGGAAGGGGAGGAAAUUGUAAACUGUGAUGGAGGGAGUAGUUUUUAGCAUUUAAGACCCAGCAUAUCACUUACAUGUGCAGUUAUGUCAUCCCAAUUCCCCAUUUUCUUUGCUUAAUAUAUAUGUUCAGAUCAUGCUCCAGUCUUUGUUACAAAAAUAUGUUUGAUUGUUACAUGCUAGAUCAAUAUGGUCUGGCCGUAGCGAGGUAUCAUAGUUGUUUUAUCUCCCUUUCUCGAUCCUCCAUUUCUGGAUACACCAUUUUGAAGUGUCCUGAGAUAUUGUGAUGCCUUCACAAUCUAAGAAUGAUAUUUUUUUGUAGUUAAAGCAGAAACACAACAGAGUAGAUAAUGAGGUAGCUGAAUGAAAAAUAACAGGCUUGGUGUUAACUACAGUAUUUGUGACUUCAGAUUGGCAGAUAUAGCUAAAUCUACUUUUUGCCCAUGAGUUCGGUUUAUUCUAUUGUCAUUCUAUUUUAAUAGCAUUUGUCCAUGCUUUUACAUUUUGCUUUGUACAGCCAUAUCUUCAUGAUGGGCUCGGCUGCAGGGGCUAGGUGAGAGCUCAUCAGUAUAUGUUAGUAAUGCUCACUACCUCGGCGUCCGCUGGUACUUGGUGUGCCUUCCAUACAUCAUCAAGCUAGCGAGAUGGGCUCACCGCCUUGAUAGCAUCAAGCUAAUGUGAUGCCCUUAUUAUCUGCCUAUAUGCUUUUGCUGGAUGUGUCUUCUCUGCUGCGGCAUUGACCUGCUGUGGUAGCUAUGUAGAUAGCGCUAUGUAAAAGUUAUUUUGUGUAAGCGCAGUACAUCCUCUGGCUGAUUGGGAGGCUUGCAAGACCAUCCUUCAUCCAGACCCUAUGUUGAGAAUACGGGCUUAGCUUUAUAUGCUCUUUAUCUACUUCUAUGCAUGACACGAACUAUUGCCCAUGAAUACUUUGUGUUGAUACACUUUCCGUCUGUUCCUCCUUUGCAGCUUGGCCUUACACCGAUUUGUUGUUAGAACUUAGCACCUCUAGGGUGCACAAUUAAGGGGGAUAUAUAGUAGUUUUCAGUGUUCUGAAGAGUUAUGAGAUACACUUAUGUGGUUGUUUCGCCAUCGAAACUAUAACCCAUAAGUUAAAGUGGAUUAUCAUAUGCAUGUCAUCCCAGUAACCACUCAAGCUCAUUAAUCCACACCAAGCAUAUAAUAUUGUAAGAGAUCUUUCAUGGACUUACAACAUGCUUUCGACUAAUUUUGGUGACCUGUGAGUCCCACUCUACGUUACAUUCCAGUUAUGUGUUGGUUGGUCAGUUGAACCGAUACGGUGUAACCUACUACCAGUUCAAAAUAGCUGUUAGAAAGAUACAGCUUCUCCAGCAAUUGCCGAUCCAUGAAAUGGCCUAAUUAAAAAACGUUCAGAACUAUUUAUUUAACAUGUCUUCCACGUCAUUGUGAAUGUUACAUAUAAGGUCAUGACAUAUGACAACCUAAUUACACGAUUUGUCUAAACAUAGAUAAAAACUACAGCUAAUAGGGAAUAUCGAACAUCAAUUCAUCCUAUCUUACCACACUUACAAGAAACGUCAUAGUUUUACUCUGAAGCAAGUAUGGAAGUUAAUGUUUUUUGAGCGAUAAUUCGGAGAUUAAUUAAUGAUAUAUUAUUGAUAAGGCCAAAUUGUGUCACCUGUGUUUCUAUAAACAUUGGAUAACUCUUACCUUAUCUUUCACAUGUCAACAACUUUUAAUAUGAUUUCAGUAUUUGUGCAAAAUGGCUCGUGGGAACCAUUUGAAUUCAGCAUAUC